GAUGAACGCUGGCGGCGUGCCUAAUACAUGCAAGUCGAGCGAACGGACGAGAAGCUUGCUUCUCUGAUGUUAGCGGCGGACGGGUGAGUAACACGUGGAUAACCUACCUAUAAGGCUGGGAUAACUUCGGGAAACCGGAGCUAAUACCGGAUAAUAUUUUGAACCGCAUGGUUCAAAAGUGAAAGACGGUCUUGCUGUCACUUAUAGAUGGAUCCGCGCUGCAUUAGCUAGUUGGUAAGGUAACGGCUUACCAAGGCAACGAUGCAUAGCCGACCUGAGAGGGUGAUCGGCCACACUGGAACUGAGACACGGUCCAGACUCCUACGGGAGGCAGCAGUAGGGAAUCUUCCGCAAUGGGCGAAAGCCUGACGGAGCAACGCCGCGUGAGUGAUGAAGGUCUUCGGAUCGUAAAACUCUGUUAUUAGGGAAGAACAUAUGUGUAAGUAACUGUGCACAUCUUGACGGUACCUAAUCAGAAAGCCACGGCUAACUACGUGCCAGCAGCCGCGGUAAUACGUAGGUGGCAAGCGUUAUCCGGAAUUAUUGGGCGUAAAGCGCGCGUAGGCGGUUUUUUAAGUCUGAUGUGAAAGCCCACGGCUCAACCGUGGAGGGUCAUUGGAAACUGGAAAACUUGAGUGCAGAAGAGGAAAGUGGAAUUCCAUGUGUAGCGGUGAAAUGCGCAGAGAUAUGGAGGAACACCAGUGGCGAAGGCGACUUUCUGGUCUGUAACUGACGCUGAUGUGCUAAAGCGUGGGGAUCAAACAGGAUUAGAUACCCUGGUAGUCCACGCCGUAAACGAUGAGUGCUAAGUGUUAGGGGGUUUCCGCCCCUUAGUGCUGCAGCUAACGCAUUAAGCACUCCGCCUGGGGAGUACGACCGCAAGGUUGAAACUCAAAGGAAUUGACGGGGACCCGCACAAGCGGUGGAGCAUGUGGUUUAAUUCGAAGCAACGCGAAGAACCUUACCAAAUCUUGACAUCCUUUGACAACUCUAGAGAUAGAGCCUUCCCCUUCGGGGGACAAAGUGACAGGUGGUGCAUGGUUGUCGUCAGCUCGUGUCGUGAGAUGUUGGGUUAAGUCCCGCAACGAGCGCAACCCUUAAGCUUAGUUGCCAUCAUUAAGUUGGGCACUCUAAGUUGACUGCCGGUGACAAACCGGAGGAAGGUGGGGAUGACGUCAAAUCAUCAUGCCCCUUAUGAUUUGGGCUACACACGUGCUACAAUGGACAAUACAAAGGGCAGCGAAACCGCGAGGUCAAGCAAAUCCCAUAAAGUUGUUCUCAGUUCGGAUUGUAGUCUGCAACUCGACUACAUGAAGCUGGAAUCGCUAGUAAUCGUAGAUCAGCAUGCUACGGUGAAUACGUUCCCGGGUCU
rnacentral:rRNA from 1 species